AUGAUAGUUGUGGGAGAGUGCGGAAACGCCGCCGACGGAGCAAGUUUCAAAAGCCUUGAAACGAAUCUCUCAGGCACAUGGACCACAAUUGGACG
rnacentral:ncRNA from 1 species